rnacentral:piRNA from 1 species
UCUGAGGAAUGAGAAUCCUGACCUGAGGGC